CCUACGGGUGGCUGCAGUUUCGAAUCAUUCACAAUGGGCGAAAGCCUGAUGGUGCGACGCCGCGUGAGGGAUGAAGGUCUUCGGGUUGUAAACCUCUGUCACUGGGGAGAAAACGCUUUGAGUUAAUAGUUCAAAGCCUGAUUUAACCCGGAGAGGAAGCAGUGGCUAACUCUGUGCCAGCAGCCGCGGUAAUACAGAGACUGCAAGCGUUAUUAAGGGUCACUGGGCGGGAAGGGUGCGCCGGCGGUGAAAUCCCGAGGCUUAACCUCGGAACUGCGUCUGAAACUACUCGACUAGAGUACUGGAGAGGGAAACGGAAUUCACGGUGUAGCAGUGAAAUGCGUAGAUAUCGUGAGGAACACCAGAGGCGAAGGCGGUUUCCUGGACAGUUACUGACGCUCAGGCACGAAAGCAUGGGGAGCAAAAGGGAUUAGAUACCCCGGUAGUC
rnacentral:rRNA from 1 species